rnacentral:lncRNA from 1 species
UCCAGCAGCACAGUGUGGUUUUUCCGAUUUCCGUCAGUAAAACGCGAUCGACAGCGCCGUGAAGCCUGGAUUAGGGCUGUGAAGCGGCAAGAUGCGCAAGGGCGUCCAUGGCAGCCGUCGGCAGCAUCUUGACUGUGCAGGAAGCACUUUGUGACAGGGGCACCUUCACUGUCACCCAGACCUCUGGACUUCAUACCGACGCUAUUUGUGUACAUGGACCAGUUCAAAAAAAAAAAAAUGGACGCUGUCGACCUGUUCGUACCGCGGCGCAUUCGAAGAGGAAAACAGGCACCCCCCAAACAGGAGGUGCAGCGGUUUCAGGUCAAGGAGGAGCUUGUUAAGGUCACCAUGAUGGGGAAGCAGACAUGUCCUGUGUUCAGGGUGCAGACUCUUCAUUCGAGGAGCAAGGGGCAGCUGAUGCACUCUUGCUGCUUGCAACAUCCCGAAUGCUCACCGAGCCACAGGAGGUCCUAGAGCCAACGUCCUUAAGCAGAGAAGAGAACACUGACCACCUUUUAGCUGAAAAUAUGGCC